rnacentral:rRNA from 1 species
UGCGGAAUAUUGCACAAUGGAGGGAACUCUGAUGCAGCGACGCCGCGUGAGUGAUGAAGGAAUUCGUUUCGUAAAACUCUGUUCUAUGGGAAGAAAAGGACUGUACCAUAGGAGAAAGCUCCGGCUAAAUACGUGCCAGCAGCCGCGGUAAUACGUAUGGAGCGAGCGUUGUCCGGAAUUAUUGGGCGUAAAGGGUGCGCAGGCGGCUUUACAAGUUGGAUGUGAAAUAUUGUGGCUCAACCACAAACGUGCAUCCAAAACUGCAAAGCUUGAGUUAAGGAGAGGUAAGUGGAAUUCCUGGUGUAGCGGUGGAAUGCGUAGAUAUCAGGAGGAAUACCGGUGGCGAAGGCGACUUACUGGACUUAAACUGACGCUCAGGCACGAAAGCGUGGGGAGCAAACAGG